rnacentral:misc_RNA from 1 species
GAAAUGCGAUACGUAAUGUGAAUUGCAGAAUUCAGUGAAUCAUCGAGUCUUUGAACGCACAUUGCGCCCCCUGGUAUUCCGGGGGGCAUGCCUGUCCGAGCGUCAUUGCUGCCCUCAAGCACGGCUUGUGUGUUGGGCCCCCGCCCCCCCCCAAGGGGACGGGCCCGAAAGGCAGCGGCGGCACCGUGUCCGGUCCUCGAGCGUAUGGGAAGCAACUUUUUGUCACCCGCUCCUGUAGGUCCGGCCGGCGGCCUGCCCAACCCCAACCUUUUUUUCAACCAGGUUGACCUCGGAUCAGGUAGGGAUACCCGCUGAACUUAAGC